CUCACUCUCAUUCACCAGACCCCUUUCUCUCUCUGCCUCCUGCGCUUAAAUCAUUAGCGUAAUUAGUUUGAUAUCAAAAGUUGGCAUGCCAAUAUUUGGCAAGUGCUAAAUAUUGGCUAGAGAUUGGUUGCUUGCAAUUUUCAUUGUCAAUUUCACAAAAAAUUAUCAAAUGUUGGCAACUUCUGAUUUUGCCAAAUGUUGAUUUGUCAAAUAUUGGUAGCAAACCAAUUAUGCUCCAUCGCCGCCGAGCCCCAAUCCAGCCACCUCCCCAGCGGCCUGUUCUCAUGGGAGCGCCUGCUCGCUGCAGCCUCAGCUCAUCUUCGCUUUGAAGGAGGUCACCAGAUGGCGCGGCCACGGACGGGCGGCCAAACGGCUGGUGGAUCUAGACCCUACCUCGCCGGAUCCAGUGCUCGCUUGGGGCUGCGCCACGAGCGGCACCCAAUCAUUCGGGUCGCGCCACUCUGCUACCACUGCCUUCCUGACCGCCGGCGACCGACGGGGUAACGCCGCUCUUCUCUCUCCCCCCAUCUCAGUGUGGAACUCUGACCCCCGUUCCCUCUCCAUCGGUGGUGGAGUCGAGAUGAGAGGCGGCACACGUCGGGAGUGCAUAGAUAAAUCACCAGAUCUAUCUAGCAGCGUCGAAGCCAUGUAGCUCUCCACGGCACGCCGUCUCCAGUGCAUUCCUCUUCUCAGGCACCUGCCUAGGGAAGCCCCAUGGAUAAUUGGCUCUCUUCCAUGGGUCUACUAUUGUGUUAUUACCGGCAAGACAUCAUUGCACUGUCCACAUCCAAGAUCUCCAUAUUCAAUCUCAUGUUCAUAUUUUGGAAACCAAUCAAGAACCACCAACAUUGUGUGCGCAACAACACUCAGAUCAUGAUCAUAAUCUCACUUUGGAUGCUUCUCCCCAAGAUUUGGAGCUUGACGCUGCAGAGAAGUUUUUUAUCCAGUGCAUCUCAGAAAUGAACUCACUCGCUUGUUCUACGGCAGCCAACCUUUUCACCCUUGUGUUUCUGGGUCUUGAAUUCUAUCGAGCAUAGAUAACAUGUUGUUGCAUGUUAUUUGCAGUCGUAUAUACUAGCCUGACCAACAAUGCUUGUACAUGCUGAUUUUGGUAUUCUGCUAGCUGUAGAAAAUUUAGAUAGUGUAUUCUUUUAAUUCUGGCUUGAAAUCGACCAUGAGUCUGAUGUAUGUGCCAUUGUAUGUUGAAUGUUGGCUACAAUUUAUAAAUUGGAAUUAUGGCUUGGAAUUGAAUUGUUUGAAUUAUGGCUGGUAUGAAUUUAAAUUCAAAUUGCAUA